UACAAAUUUAGGGUAAAUAAAUUGAGAACUAUAUGGUUCAUUCAAUUCACCUCCCUCACUUCACUUAAUUAUAUAUAUAUAGAUAUGAAUAAAUAAAUGUGAGAUUUUUUCACUUUUCCAUGUUGGUGGGCUAAGCUUAUUAUAUAAAGAAGAUAUAUGUAUGUAGUAGGUUCCCCAUUACUACUACUACUAUUGAUUAUUUGAUUUGAUUUGAUUUGAUUUAUGAUGGAAGAACAUCUAACUCCAUUGGCGGUUACACAUCUUCUUCAACACACUCUCAGAAGCUUGUGCAUCCAUGACAAUUCUCAGUGGGUCUAUGCUGUUUUCUGGAGGAUCCUCCCCAGAAACUACCCUCCACCAAAGUGGGAGGGUCAAGGGGCUUAUGAUAGAUCAAGAGGGGCAUUAUUUAGUCACACACCGAAUCUUGCAACCAAUUAAUUAACAAUCCCACUAUUUACUAAUAAUAUUUUUGUCAAUUUC